rnacentral:rRNA from 1 species
AUUGAACGCUGGCGGCAUGCUUUACACAUGCAAGUCGAACGGUAACAGGUUAAGCUGACGAGUGGCGAACGGGUGAGUAAUGCAUCGGAACGUGCCCGAUCGUGGGGGAUAACGCAGCGAAAGCUGCGCUAAUACCGCAUACGAUCUGAGAAUGAAAGCGGGGGACCGUAAGGCCUCGCGCGAUCGGAGCGGCCGAUGUCAGAUUAGGUAGUUGGUGGGGUAAAGGCUCACCAAGCCAACGAUCUGUAGCUGGUCUGAGAGGACGACCAGCCACACUGGGACUGAGACACAGCCCAGACUCCUACGGGAGGCAGCAGUGGGGAAUUUUGGACAAUGGGCGAAAGCCUGAUCCAGCAAUGCCGCGUGCAGGAAGAAGGCCUUCGGGUUGUAAACUGCUUUUGUACGGAGCGAAAAGGUUCUCUCUAAUACAGAGGGCUCAUGACGGUACCGUAAGAAUAAGCACCGGCUAACUACGUGCCAGCCGCCGCGGUAAAAC